UCAGGAAAACCAAAGCCAGCUCUGCACUGAACUGCGUUUUUAUAGCUGCUAUAGUAGUCUAGUGCGCUUUUUAACCCGACCAGACAGACACCACAAAACCGGCCAAGCGUGAUAGG
rnacentral:sRNA from 1 species